GACGAACGCUGGCGGCGUGCUUAACACAUGCAAGUCGAACGGAAAGACCCUGCUUUUGUGGGGUGCUCGAGUGUCGAACGGGUGAGUAUCACGUGAGUAACCUGCCCUUGACUUUGGGAUAGCUUCAUGAAACUGCGGCUAAUACCAGAUAGGAGCUCCUGCUGCAUGGUGGGUGUUGGAACGUUUCGGCGGUUGGGGAUGGACUCGCGGCUUAUCAGCUUGUUGGUGGGGUAGUGGCUUACCAAGGCUUUGACGGGUAGCCGGCCUGAGAGGGUGACCGGCCACAUGGGGACUGAGGUACGGCCCAGACGCCUAUGGGAGGCAGCAGGGGCAAAGCUUGCACAAUGAGGGGAAGUGUGAUGCAGAGACCCCGCGGGCGGGAAGGCGGCCUUCGGGGUGUAAACCGCUUUCGCGUGUUACGAAGCGUGAGUGACGGUAAUGGGUAAAGAAGCACCGGCUAACUACGUG
rnacentral:rRNA from 1 species